UUUUUUUUUUUUGUCUUUUUGCUAUUUCUUGGGCCGCUCCUGCGGCAUAUGGAGGUUCCCAGGCUAGGGGUCGAAUCGGAGCUGUAGCCACUGGUCUACACCAGAGCCACAGCAACGCGGGAUCCGAGCCUCAUCUGCAACCUACGCCACAACUCAUGGCAACGCUGGAUCCUUAACCCACUGAGCAAGGCCAGGGAUCGAACCCGCAACCUCAUGGUUCCUAGUCAGAUUCGCUAACCACUGAGCCACACAGGAACUCCUGACUCUUGUUUUUACCUCCUCUUUGCAAAUGAGGAAACAGAGAAAUGACCUAAGUUGCUCAACAGUAGCUAGUGAGUGGUGAAACUGAUUUAAAUGCUUGUCCAUCUGAUUCCAGGUCCUCUCCUCUUACCCUCGUCUUGCCAGUCCCUCUGAUCCUUGGGUGCUGCUCUCUGAAAACUGUCCCAUCCCUGCAGCCCUCCUUGAUCCAAUUACUACCCAGUUAGAUAUGCUUCUUGAGGUGUAGCUCUGAGCCCCUCUCUUGGACAUUAUUUCAGGCCUGCUUUCUGGUACCAAGUCCCCACAGCUAUGGAUAAAAGAUGUUCCUCAGACCCUUCUCCAGCCCUGUGCACCCUGACCUUUUAGCCUAAAUGUAUCUACAGUGAACCAGGAGUGUUUACUGCCCUGCUUUUUAUCACCAACAGCCCUAGCAUUAGGAAAAUCACCAGGUGCCUACAUUUUUCAUCUGUAAAAUAAAAAUCCUCAGUAUGCUUACAAGUUAGAUAGCUCUUCUAGAAAUGAGAAAAUUGAACUUUUCAAAUUUCUGGCUACAAGCUGUGCUGUAAAACAUCAUUACUGAUUUUUUUGAUAUGCACUUUCUGGUCUUUGCAAUUCAAAGAUGAUGGUUUUGGGUAUCACUGCAAUUGGUGUGAGCAGCGGGAACACAAAGAGACCAAAGCUUGAGGUAGCUGCAUCCCUCACCUGAGGGUUGAGGUGAUAUGUUUUCUUUGGGAUUUGAAGUGCAUAAUUAGGAAUUCUCUCCCUUCCUUUUCUAUAGCUUUUAGGGUACCCUUAAAGCUAUAGACAGAAGCCCUCAAUACUAACUAGGGUAUAUUAAUGUUAAUUUGGGUAUACUAAUUUCCCAAAUCAGAAAGUAAAAACUCAGGGCUCAGAAAGCAUUCUCUUGGAGUUCUUGCUAUGGCACAGUGGAUUAAGAAUCCCUUUGUAGUGGCUUGGGUUUGGUCCCUGGUGUGGUGCAGUGGGUUAAAGGAUCUGGUGUUGCCACAACUAUGGUGUAAGUUGCAGCUACAGCUCAGAUUCAAUCCGUAGCCCUGGAACUUCCAUAUGCCAUGGGUGUGGAAUUAAAAGAAAGGCACUCUCUUGUUGGCUACCAUUUUGAGUCCAGAGACCAGAUUCCUGAUAAAAUGGGAGUGGCUUCGGUUGUGGUGGCUGGGAGGAUGAAGUGGGGCUAAGCUUGUAUGGCAAGAGUUAGUCAUCUUUAGACCAAGAAAAUGUGAGCCCCAUUAGACUUAUUUUUUAAAUUUUAUUAUUAAAGUAAAAAUUAUACUUGAUACAAUGUUGUGCCAAUUUCUGCUGUAAAGCAAAGUGACCCAGUUGUACACAUAUAUUCUUUUCCUCACAUUAUCUUCCAUCAUGUUCUAUCACAAGAGUCUGGAUAUAGUUCCAGUGUUGUACAGAAGGAUCUCAUUGCUCAUCCAUUUUAAAUGUAAUAGUUUGCAUCCACUAACCCCAAAUUCCAAGUCCACCCCCCCUCCUCAAUAACCACAAGUCUGUGCUUUAUGUCUGUGAGUCUGUUUCUGUUGUGUAUAUAGGUUCAUUUGUGCCACAUUUUAGAUUCCAUACAUAAGUAAUAUGAUAUGGCAUCUGUCUUUCUCUUUCUGACUUCAUUUAGUAACUUACUUUAUUAAACAGACAUUUAUCGGGAGCCUUUUAAGUACUAGGUCCUGGGAGUUUAAAAGCACACAGCAUGGUUUCUAUCAAGAGGGAUAUAUUGGGAAUUUAUGAAAGGCAGAAUACUAUUAUAAAAUUUGAUAGCUAUAACAGUGGUAUGUAGAAAUUUUUCUGAGGCAGAAAAAACCUUUGGAAAGGGUAUACACACAUUGGAGAUAUCAGUAAAAUGUGUUGGAUACAAAAACAUAUAAUCCACAAGUCAUAGAUGGAAGGAUGUGAAUUAAGAUAAUACCUCAUCAUAAACUAAAUUUUUACUGUGUAAUGCAUGCCUUUUAUAUGAUAGGAAUGAAUUAACAGAUGAAUUUGCUUAUUAUUCAUAUAUUAUGAGAAGGGGAGAUAUCAGAGAAAGCUAAAGAGAAUCUCAAUAACCAAUCAUCAGGAGACACAAACCAAAUUAACUUUGAUAAAAGAUAACACAAGAUCGGAGUUCCUGUCAUGGCUCAGUGGUUAACGAAUCUGACUAGGAACCAUGAGGUUGCAGGUACGAUCCCUGGCCUUGCUCAGCGGAUUAAGGAUCUGGCGUUGCCUGCUGUGAGCUGUGGUGUAGGUUGCAGACGUGGCUUGGAUCCCGCGUUGUUGUGGCCCUGGUGUAGGCUGGCAACUACAACUCCGAUUCGACCCCUAGCCUGGGAACCUCCAUAUGCUGUGGGAGCAGGCCAAUAAAUGGCAAAAAGACAAAAAAACAAACAAAAACCAAAAGAUAACACAAGAUAAGAUUACUGAGAACCACAUAAAUAAAAGGUGAGUGAUUUGACAGUAUGAAGAGUACUACUGGUUGGGACAUUCAUCUUGGGAAAAAUACAUGCACAUGUUGGACUCUGAUGGCGGGGGCUUUUGCAAAGGACGAAGUCAGGAAAGGACAUGGGAAGUGGGUGUAAAGAGCACAGCGAAGUUAAGAAGGUGGGUAAUUAUGGUAUCUGAUAGAUUUGGCAGGAGUGACAGGACUGAAGGGAAAGCUGGAAAGUUAGGUUUGUACUGGAGAGAGGGGUUUUCUCCUAAGGAUUUGGACUUGAUGGUGAGCAGAAGGAGAUGUCAAAGAGUUUCCUGGUGGUUUAUCAGGUUAAGGAUUCGGCAUCAUCACUACUGUGACAUGGGUUCUGUCCCCAGUCCAGGAACUUCCUUCCACGUGCUACAAACAAAGCCAAAAAAAUAGUGUUUGGGGCCAAGGACUACCAUGAUUAUCUCUGAAGUUCAAAUAUGUCAACAAACACUAUUUUACUUUUCAGAUUUUAUUGAGAAAAAUUCAAUCUUUUCCAUUCCUGAAACAGCUGUAUUUUCUCUAUCACAUUUAGACCUUACUGAUUUGAAACGAUCUGCAAUGUGUUCUUUAUUCUAUUUUAUUCUCUCACCGAAUAGCUAUUUAUUAUGUUUCUGUUGUUGUUAUUAACCUUGGCAGGGAGCAUUUAUCUAAAACACCUUCAGAAUAGAAAUUAUUCAGAUUAGCAAUAAUUUGAAUCCUGGAAUCUGGGUAAUGUAUUUGUGUUCAUUAAAAAAACAUUUCAUACCUUCAUUUUAACCAGCUCAUAUCCAUCAAUCAAACUCAAGAAUACUCACAUUCUGAAAUAUCUGAAAUUACAAAUGUUAAUAUUUAUGUAGAUUAUUCUGCUGUUAUUUUUCUCACGGUGAUCAUUCUGGCUGAGCCUACCCUAUAAAUAGGUGAUUGUCUUGUGUAAAAAUACCUAACCACAUUUAUGUUCUUUAAAGAUUGCUUGACCACUGUCUCAUGAAUAACAGUCCUUGAUAUAGAUACAAGCAAUAGAUUGGAGGCUUAGGGAAUUGAAUUUUCCUCAUAUAUCUAUUAGGAGAAAUAUAGUCACAGAUUCUCUUCAUGAUUAAAAUGUACCCUCAAGUAUACAAGGCUUGAAUGCUGUUUGGUGAAUAGGUUACUCUCAGCCAGCUACCCAGGGGUGACAAAGAAGGAACUACUAUUACAUAGUUGGUUUGGCAGACAAAGAGCCACCCUCUUUUAAAACUCUUUAAAGCCCUCUAGCCCAUAACCUGCAAGGGAUGCUGCAUUGCAACACAAUUUUCAGGAAUCCUUCCAAACUUCAGCCAUUCUAGCAAUGUGUCUAUCUCAUAGGAACAUCUUCCUUCUAGCCUUGUCUUCAGAAGGAAGAGCAAAGCCAGAGGGAUUUGGUGCUUGUUUGGCCAUGGCCAGCGUAGAAUGGGAAGGGGAUGGGAAUGCAACAAGUACAUGGGCUAAGUAGCUCAAGGAAGUUCUGAAAGGCAUGUUGUACAACUAGUCCUUGAACUACAAAGGCAGCGUUUUUCCUAAGGUUAAGGAAAACCCCACUUUGGCCCUUCCAUACCUCUAAGCCUUAAGGUUAGGGAUUGAGAGGGGGAUCAAUCACAGCACCAUGGUCCCUGUUCUUUAUGGGAAAAGAGUAAAAAAAGGAGGGGAAGGGGUAGGGAGGGGGAGGGAGAGGGGUGGGGACGGGGCAGGGAGAGGAACAGAGGGAGUCAGGUAGAGAAAAGACAGAGGCAGAAAACUAAAAAGUUUUGAUAAGAAUAUCUCACAACCAGUGCAGUGAUGUGAAAAGCCAGACACCUGAUGGAAAUCCAUGGCUCCACAGGGACCUUGCAGCAGUGGAAAUGCAUCUGUGUAGGAAUUCCUAUUAAAAGAAGACCCAGAGCUACAUUUUACCUGUCAGGAGGUUUUUAAGUCUACAUAUGCAAAGUCAAGGCUUUUGCCAACUUGUAAACACAGAGUCUACUGGGAACAUUCACAGUCUGACAUCUUUCCAUGUCUGCUGCAUUUGAUCCCAGAUAGCAAAAAUGUUAAGUAAUUCCCCAAAGACUGCCUAUAUAAGCAGGCGUGUAGCUCUUGUUUGUAACUAGCAGAGAUUCUGAAACAAAAAUAUUUUUUAACUCUCAACACACCCUGCGAGGCCAAGAUAAAAUGCCAUUUCAAACUGGUCAGCCUGGGUGUUGGGAGGAAAUUUGAAUUCAGAAAGAUGUGAAACUAAAUCCAGGCUCCUUUACUGUCAGUAUGAGGCUCUGUAAGAUACACUUUGGAGUAGCAAUAGCUGCUCUGGCUAGUGUGAUGAAUGGGAACAAAGUAUAAGAAAGUACUAUCAGAGUAUCUAAAAUUAAAUUUUCACUAAAGUUAUUGGUAAGUUUCAAUGACAGUAGAACUGACUGAACAAUAUGUAAGAAUAAAGCUCCUAUUUGUGGUUAAAGCUUAUUCUCCUAGUGACAUCUGAAACUAUUUGUAAUCCAGUAAAGCAUGUCUAAUAUGUAUAUCUUAUGUGUGUAUAUAUACACACACACAUAUACAUAAGCUAGUAAGAGGAAAAAUAGCUAAAAUAUGACACAUCGGAGUUCCCGUCGUGGCGCAGUGGUUAACGAAUCUGACUAGGAACCAUGAGGUUGCAGGUUCGGUCCCUGCCCUUGCUCAAUGGGUUAACGAUUCGGCGUUGCUGUGAGCUGUGGUGUAGGUUGCAGACGCGGCUUGGAUCCCAUGUUGCUGUGGCUCUGGUGUAGGCCGGUGGCUACAGCUCCUAUUAGACCCCUAGCCUGGGAACCUCCAUAUGCCGAGGGAGCGGCCCAAGAAAUAGCAAAAAGACAAAAAAAAAUAAAAUAAAAUACGACACAUAUUAUAAGCCAGGACCUGUUCUAAAUAAUUUACAUGUGUUAACCAUUUUUCCUAAGUCUGAUUAUUAUUUAAACAUUGUCUUCACUUUGCAGUUGUGAUAACUAAGACCCAAUGAGGUUAAGUACUUAGAUCAACAUUACACAGGUAGUCAGUGUUAUGGUUAGGUAGACUCAGACUGUCUGGUACUAGAGCCUAUGCAUUUACUUAUGGUACUAUGCUUCCUAUACCAUCUCUAAAUAGUCAACAAUUUUUGAUAGAGAAGAAAGGAGGCCCAUAUAGUGUCAAUUUAACUAAGAGGCUUGCCCUAGAGUUUUAGGAUGAAAAUAAAAAAGGAAAACAGAUAACAAUACUUGUAGUGUCUGUGUGGUUAAUUGGUAAAACACUGUAGUAUAGUCUACAUGUGUUCCAGUUAGGUAGGUGAGAUGAUAAGAAGUUGUUACAUUUGGAAAGGACGGGAACAGUCUUCAUUCAUCCAUCCUUUCUGGUUGCAGGAAAGUGAUGCAGAGCAAACUUUUAGAGUUAGGCAGACCUCAAUUCUAAUUUCACUAAUGGUGUGAUCUUGAGAAAGCAAGAUUACCUUAUCAAAUCUCCUAAAGUACACUUUUUUUUCUAAGGGAUUUUUCAAUGGAAUAUUUUUAGAAAUAAAUGAUAUGGUUUUAUAGACAGCUAAGCACAGUAUCUGUUACAAAAGCAUGGUAUUUGUUACAAAAUGAAACUCAAUAAGUGCCGAGUUAUGUUCUGAAGAUACAAAGAUGAAUAAAACACCUUUCUUGCUCUCUAUGAGAUCUAGUGGUCUAGUAAGGACAUGGCAUAAGUAUGAUAAAUGUGAAAAUGGUUAAUUCCACUAGGGUUUAGGUAUCAAGGAAUUAGGAAUGGAAUAAUAACAGUAAUUUGAGAUUUUCUCAUAUCGAGCAUUGAGAAAAGUGCUUAGGCCUUUCACUCGCUAUCUCAUUUAAUCUCAAGAUGACCCUAAGAAGUAAGAACUAAUAUUAGCCCUAUUCUACAAAUGAAUAAACUAAAGCUUAGGGAAAUGAAGUUAUCUUUCCAGUCAUAAUACUCAGGGAGAAAAGAGUGGAGACCUUAAC
rnacentral:lncRNA from 1 species